UACUCUUCAAAUAGAGCAUGUAGUAAGGAGUCCCCUUACUGCUAUGAAAUUAAGCCAAAGGCUAUGACUUAAACAUUUAAAAGAAAAUAAAAAUGUACAUGGUUUUGUUUUUAAAGUUGUUCAGUUCACUUAGAUGUAGUUUGAUCUUGAUAUUUUACAAAGCUUGCUAACUUACAAGUUAACUUCAUUUGAAAAAUGGGUAUAUUUUCAACUUAUUGCAUAAAUCAGUGUGUGCUUGGAAAGAAAAAGUAAUAUGGUAUUUUAAAUUCCUAUCUUUAGAACUUUGUAUUUAUACUGACAAUUUUUAAAUAAAUUGGUACUUAAUGG
rnacentral:lncRNA from 1 species